CCUAAGGUAGCGAAAUUCCUUGUCGGGUAAGUUCCGACCUGCACGAAUGGCGUAACGACUUCCCCACUGUCUCGACCAGGAGCUCGGCGAAAUUGCAGUACGAGUAAAGAUGCUCGUUAAGCGCAGAAGGACGAAAAGACCCCGGGACCUUUACUAUACCUUGGUAUUGGCGUUAGGCGCGGAUUGUGUAGCAUAGGCGGGAGGCUUCGAAGCGUGGGCGCCAGCUCAUGUGGAGCCGCAAGGUGAAAUACCGCUCUGUUCUCGUUUGACGUCUAACCUCGACAAGUCAUCCUUGUCAGGGACAGUGCCUGGCGGGUAGUUCAACUGGGGCGGUUGCCUCCCAAAGAGUAACGGAGGCGCUCAAAGGUCCGCUCAGCCCGGUUGGCAAUCGGGUGUCGAGUGUAAUCGCACAAGCGGGCUUGACUGCGAGGACGACGGUCCGAGCAGGGACGAAAGUCGGAGAUAGUGAUCCGGUGCCGGCGCACGGGCGCGGCAUCGCUCAACGGAUAAAAGGUACCCCGGGGAUAACAGGCUGAUCAUUCCCAAGAGUCCAUAUCGACGGGAUGGUUUGGCACCUCGAUGUCGGCUCGUCGCAUCCUGGGGCUGGAGCAGGUCCCAAGGGUUCGGCUGUUCGCCGAUUAAAGCGGCACGCGAGCUGGGUUCAGAACGUCGUGAGACAGUUUGGUCUCUAUCCUCUGCGCUCGUUGGAAUCCUGAGGAGGCCUGCCCAUAGUACGAGAGGACCUGGGUGGACGAACCUCUGGUAUGCCGGUUGUCGCGCCAGCGGCACGGCCGGUUGGCUACGUUCGGGAGGGAUAACCGCUGAAAGCAUCUAAGCGGGAAGCCUGCUCCAAGAUUAGGAUUCCGUACGGUCUUGAACCGUUGUAGCCCGCAUGUUGAACACGUGUUUGAUAGGCCGGAGGUGGAAGCCCCGUGAGGGGUGGAGCCGACCGGUACUAACGGGCGACGGCGACACAAC
rnacentral:rRNA from 1 species